UACGGAGGGUGCAAGCGUUAUCCGGAUUCACUGGGUUUAAAGGGUGCGUAGGUGGGUUGAUAAGUCAGUGGUGAAAUCCCCGAGCUUGACUUGGGAACUGCCAUUGAUACUAUUGAUCUUGAAUACCGUGGAGGUCAGCGGAAUAUGUCAUGUAGCGGUGAAAUGCUUAGAUAUGACAUAGAACACCAAUUGCGAAGGCAGCUGGCUACGCGAAUAUUGACACUGAUGCACGAAAGCGUGGGGAUCAAACAGG
rnacentral:rRNA from 1 species